rnacentral:lncRNA from 13 species
CUGUCACACCCUGGUCAAAGUAUUUUGUGUUUAUCUUUAUUUAUUUGGUCAGGCCAGGGUGUGGCAUGGGUUUUUGUAUGUGGUGUGUAUUUAUGGGGAUUGUAGCUAGUGGGGUGUUCUAGCUAAGUCUAUGGCUGUCUGAAGUGGUUCUCAAUCAGAGGCAGGUGUUUAUCGUUGUCUCUGAUUGGGAACCAUAUUUAGGCAGCCAUAUUCUUUGAGUUUGUCGUGGGUGAUUGUCCUUUGUGUCCUUAGUGUUAGUUUGCACCAGUUUAGGCUGUUUCGGUUUUCAUUACGUUUAUUAUUUUGCACUGUUUGUAUUUAGAUUCGUGUUGCUAUAGUCACAAUAAACAUGGAUCGUAAUCUACACUCCGCAUUUUGGUCCGACUCUCCUUCUCAUAAAGAAAACCGUUACAGAAUCACCCACCACCAACGGACCAAGCAGCGUGUCAACCGUUUAUUAUUUUGCACUGUUUGUAUUUAGAUUCGUGUUGCUAUAGUCACAAUAAACAUGGAUCGUAAUCUACACGCCGCAUUUUGGUCCGACUCUCCUUCUCAUAAAGAAAACCGUUACAGUGUCCACAUUUUUGGUCAUGUAGUGUAUUAUCAUUCUCCAGGAAAACUUGACACGGUUAAUUGAACAGGGACCAUAAUCUAUACAUUUCAAACUCAAUCAUCUAAAUCCUGAUUGAAUAGCUAUGCUUUCGUUUCUGAAACACAUCUCCAACCAUACAGUGGGGCCAACCAUACAGUGGGGUAAAAAAGUAUUUAGUUAGCCACCAGUUGUGCACCAGUUGUGUUCUCCCACUUAAAAAGAUGAGAGAGGCCUGUACUUUUCAUCAUAGGUACACUUCAACUAUGACAGACAAAAUGAGAAAAAAAAAUCCAGAAAAUCACAUUGUAGGUUGCGCAAAUUUGUACUGAAUGGGGUUAGUCAACAGUAGGUAGGUUUUGGUCCAUAUUUGAAAACCUUCCCUUUAGCUCAACAAACAAGUUCUCCCAUGAUUAGCGAAAUGACAC